UACGGAGGGAGCUAGCGUUAUUCGGAAUUAGCGUGGGCGUAAAGCGCACGUAGGCGGCUUUGUGAAGAUUACGAGGUGAAAGCCUGGAGCUCAACUCCAGAAUUGCCUUUAAGACUGCAUCGCUUGGAAUCCAGGAGAGGUGAGUGGAAGUUCCGAAGUGUAGAGGUGAAAUUCGUAGAUAUUCGGAAGAAACACCAGUGGCGAAGGCG
rnacentral:rRNA from 1 species